rnacentral:rRNA from 1 species
UACAUGGGGUGCAAACGUUGCUCGGAAUUAUUGGGCGUAAAGCGCGCGUAGGCGGUUACUUAAGUCGGAUGUGAAAGCCCUCGGCUUAACUGAGGAAGUGCACCCGAAACUGAGUAGCUAGAGUACGAAAGAGGGUCGCGGAAUUCCCGGUGUAGAGGUGAAAUUCGUAGAUAUUCGGAAGAACACCAGUGGCGAAGGCGACUCACUGGACGACUGUUGACGCUGAGGUGCGAAAGCGUGGGGAGCAAACAGG